AUUGAACGCUGGCGGCAGGCCUAACACAUGCAAGUAGAACGAGUGGCGGACGGGUGAGUAAUAUAAGGGAAACUGCCAGAUGGCGGGGGAUAACUACUGGAAACAGUAGCUAAUACCGCAUACUAUCAGAUGUGCCCAGAGGGGAGUAGCUUGUUGGUGGGGUAACGGCUCACAAAGGCGACGAUCCCUAGCUGGUCUGAGAGGACGACGAGCCACCCGGGAACGAGGACACGGUCCAGAGUCCUACGGAAGGAGGCAGUGGGGAAUGUUGGAAAUUGGGGGAAAGCCUGAUGCGGCAAGGCCGCGGGUAUGAGGAAGGCCUUCGGGUUGUAAAGUACGUUGAGCAGGGAGGCGGUACCUGCAGAGUAAGCACCGGCUAACUCCGUGCCAGCAGCCGCGGUAAUAC
rnacentral:rRNA from 1 species